rnacentral:rRNA from 1 species
UACGUAGGGUGCAAGCGUUGUCCGGAAUUAUUGGGCGUAAAGGGCGCGUAGGCGGCCUGAUAAGUAGGGGGUGAAAUCCUGCGGCUUAACCGCAGGGCUGCCUUCUAAACCUGUCAGGCUCGAGCACAGUAGAGGCAGGUGGAAUUCCCGGUGUAGCGGUGGAAUGCGUAGAGAUCGGGAAGAACAUCAGUGGCGAAGGCGGCCUGCUGGGCUGUUGCUGGACGCUGAGGCG